rnacentral:ncRNA from 1 species
AUAAAAACUUUGACAGGGACAAAUAGGCAUCAGGAUGUUUUACAGAGAAGGGAUAAAGCUGUGAACCCUAAAUAAUCAGAUGUUGAAACUUACCCUCGAGUUGUGAACUUAAACUAAGUUACACUUAAAAGUGUAUUCACUCUUAAAAGUGCGCUUAUUAGUAGGUUUUACCGGUGUAAUCCGUUAUCUUAAAAUAAGUUAUAAAUAUGGGUGGUACCGCGACGGACUCUUCGCCCCAGUG